rnacentral:rRNA from 1 species
UAGGUUAGUGACAAGAGGUUGAUAUUCGUGGACUUACGAUAACAUUUUGUGGGAUGGGAUGCCAAAAGAGAGUAAAUGAAUCGGACUGUUGGUUUGUUGUGGCGAGGCAUUUAUGCAGUGAAGGAAGGUAAUGCCGUGGUGAUGAUGCUAGGAUGUGAUGGUAAGCGAAAUUUAUGAGCGAAGUAGCUGAUUUCAGACUGAAGAGAGAAGUCUCUAUCGAGUUUAAAGGUACCCGUACCGCAAACCUACACAGGGGGGUGAGGAGAGUAUCCUAAGGCCAGAGGGAGAACUAUUGUUAAGGAACUCGGCAAAAUGACCCCGUAACUUAGGGAUAAGGGGUGCCACCAUCAGGUGGCCGCAGAGAAUAGGCCCAAGCGACUGUUUACCAAAAACAUAGGUUUCUGCUAAGUCGCAAGACGAUGUAUAGGAGCUGACGCCUGCCCGGUGCUGGAAGGUUAAGGGGAUCUGUUAGAGCAA